GGAAGGGCCAUGGCUCAGUGGUAAAAUGCAUAUGCUUUACAUGCAGAAGGUCCCAGGUUCAAUCCCCAGUGUCUCCA